rnacentral:rRNA from 1 species
GACGAACGCUGGCGGCGUGCUUAACACAUGCAAGUCGAGCGGUAAGGCCCUUUCGGGGGUACACGAGCGGCGAACGGGUGAGUAACACGUGGGUGACCUGCCCUUAGCUCUGGGAUAAGCCUGGGAAACUGGGUCUAAUACCGGAUAUGACUCCAUGACGCAUGUUGUGGGGUGGAAAGCCUUGUGCGGCAGGGGUGGGCCCGCGGCCUAUCAGCUUGUUGGUGGGGUGAUGGCCUACCAAGGCGACGACGGGUAGCCGGCCUGAGAGGGCGACCGGCCACACUGGGACUGAGACACGGCCCAGACUCCUACGGGAGGCAGCAGUGGGGAAUCUUGCGCAAUGGGCGAAAGCCUGACGCAGCGACGCCGCGUGGGGAUGACGGCCUCGGUUGUAA